rnacentral:rRNA from 1 species
CCUACGGGUGGCAGCAGUGAGGAAUAUUGGUCAAUGGACGAGAGUCUGAACCAGCCAAGUAGCGUGAAGGAUGACUGCCCUAUGGGUUGUAAACUUCUUUUAUAUGGGAAUAAAAUGUUCCACGUGUGGGAUUUUGUAUGUACCAUAUGAAUAAGGAUCGGCUAACUCCGUGCCAGCAGCCGCGGUAAUACGGAGGAUCCGAGCGUUAUCCGGAUUUAUUGGGUUUAAAGGGAGCGUAGGUGGAUUGUUAAGUCAGUUGUGAAAGUUUGCGGCUCAACCGUAAAAUUGCAGUUGAAACUGGCAGUCUUGAGUACAGUUGAGGUAGGCGGAAUGCGUGGUGUAGCGGUGAAAUGCUUAGAUAUCACGAAGAACUCCGAUUGCGAAGGCAGUUCACUAGACUGCAACUGACACUGAGGCUCGAAAGUGUGGGUAUCAAACAGGAUUAGAUACCCCAGUAGUC